GCAUAUUUGUUUAGCUAGUGACUAGGUCUUAUUAAGGAUAAACAACUGUCUCCCGAAAUUCACAUAGAGAGGAGUCUUAUGCAUUGCAGAUGUCUCCACCGCUACAUAUUAAUUUAUUAAGGAAAAAUAUACACAUGAACUUGGGCUUAAUAAUGUAUAAGUCAUCUUCAAAAUUGUGAGGUUGGAAGUUUGAACCAAAUUAAUCAAUAAAGGAAAAAAAAUUAAGGUGAGUUUUAAAAUAAGAAAGUGACUAAUAAAUAUGAUUCAGAUUAAUAGUAAUAAUAAUGGUUGAAGAAAGAUAGUAUCCUUGUUGUUUGACCAGUUCUAUAAAUGGGGAUUAAUGUUUAAAACUUUACUAGC
rnacentral:misc_RNA from 1 species